GGAGGCUUUGAAGUGUGGACGCCAGUCUGCAUGGAGCCGGCCUUGAAAUACCACCCUUUAAUGUUUGAUGUUCUAACGUUGGCCCCUGAUCGGGGUUGCGGACAGUGUCUGGUGGGUAGUUUGACUGGGGCGGUCUCCUCCUAAAGAGUAACGGAGGAGCACGAAGGUUGGCUAAUCCUGGUCGGACAUCAGGAGGUUAGUGCAAUGGCAUAAGCCAGCUUGACUGCGAGCGUGACGGCGCGAGCAGGUGCGAAAGCAGGUCAUAGUGAUCCGGUGGUUCUGAAUGGAAGGGCCAUCGCUCAACGGAUAAAAGGUACUCCGGGGAUAACAGGCUGAUACCGCCCAAGAGUUCAUAUCGACGGCGGUGUUUGGCACCUCGAUGUCGGCUCAUCACAUCCUGGGGCUGAAGUAGGUCCCAAGGGUAUGGCUGUUCGCCAUUUAAAGUGGUACGCGAGCUGGGUUUAGAACGUCGUGAGACAGUUCGGUCCCUAUCUGCCGUGGGCGCUGGAGAACUGAGGGGGGCUGCUCCUAGUACGAGAGGACCGGAGUGGACGCAUCACUGGUGUUCGGGUUGUCAUGCCAAUGGCACUGCCCGGUAGCUAAAUGCGGAAGAGAUAAGUGCUGAAAGCAUCUAAGCACGAAACUUGCCCCGAGAUGAGUUCUCCCUGAGACUUAGAGUCUCCUGAAGGAACGUUGAAGACGACGACGUUGAUAGGCCGGGUGUGUAAGCGCAGCGAUGCGUUGAGCUAACCGGUACUAAUGAACCGUGAGGCUUAACCUUACAACGCCGAAG
rnacentral:rRNA from 1 species